GCCCAAGUGGCGGAAUGGUAGACGCAGGGGAUUCAAAAUCCCCCGCCUUAACGGGCGUGCCGGUUCGAGUCCGGCCUUGGGUA
rfam:Pseudooceanicola flagellatus strain CGMCC 1.12644 genome assembly, contig: Ga0171584_101